GACAGAGGUCCCGAGCGUUAGGCGGAAUCACUGGGCUUAAAGCGUGUGUAGGCGGACUUGUAAGUACCUUGUGAAAUCCCACGGCUUAACCGUGGAACUGCUCGGUAUACUGCGAGUCUUGAGCCACUUAGGGGCUACCGGAACAAAUGGUGGAGCGGUGAAAUGCGUAGAUAUCGAGAGGAACACCAGUGGCGAAGGCGGCGAUCUGGGCUGAUACUGACGCUGAGGUGCGAAAGCGUGGGGAGCAAACAGG
rnacentral:rRNA from 1 species